rnacentral:lncRNA from 1 species
AUUGUGUCGUGAAGCCCCAGAAAGUUAAAGAGUGACACAGAGGAUCCACAGACAUGGCACAUCCCCAAGUAUAAAAGGGCUCCACACAGGGCAAUACAAUGCUGCUCAGCUCCUCUUCUGCUCUCACAAGCCUCGGGCUACCUGCUUCCCUUCUUCAUCAGACAAUUACACAAUAUGAAGUGCGUAACAUGCAGAUGAAGCAUUGCAAAGGAAAGGAUGUCUUGAACUCAUUAUUUGGAAAGAUAUGUAGCAAUGAACUAUUUGUGAUGCUGAUGGAAUAACAUAUGAAAUAAAUUAAGUGGAACUGACUUUGACA